ensembl:lncRNA
AUGCGACGUUGUGUCCGUGUUGCCGCGGAGCGCCAAGAUGCUUCUAAACGCCACCAUCCCUCUGUCGGUGAACUUCGACACCUGGGAGGACUACCUCAUCUUCACCUUCCACAUCCUGUUCGCCACGUGCGCCGUGCCGAUCGCCGCCUCGGUGGUCGUCGCCAUCUCUUGCACGCGCUCCCUGCGCGGCCAGAACCGUUUCAUCUUUAUGCUGAACACGAGCGUGAGCGACACGCUGACCGGCUUCUCGGUCUACUACCUCGGCCUCUUCGACGUCCAAGAGGGCUACCCGUCCAGAAACGGGACCUACUACAUCUUCCCCUCGUUCCUCGGAGUCAACGUGCUGACCUUCCUCUUCGCCCAGUUCGACCGCUACUUCGCCGUGUGCCACCCGUUCUUCUACAACCGCCACGUAACCCGAGCUGUGGUCAUCGGGAUCUGCGCCUUCUGCUGGAUCUACACGUACUCCAUCCUCACCGUGCAGAACCUUGUGCCCAUCUCGAAGGCGGCGCAGAUCAACGCGUUCGGCGUGAUGACCCUCCAGAUCAUAGUUUUCGUCAAGGUGUUGAUGACGAUCAAGCUGUACAUCAUAGCCCGGAGCCACCUGGGGAGGGAGGUGCCCAGCCCGGAGCGCGACAACAAGAAGGAGUCGCUGCGCGUCAUCGUGUUCGUGGUCAUCUCCUUCCUGGCGCUGUGGUGUCCGUCCUUCAUCAACAUAAUAGUGAGGCAGCUGACGCAGAAAGGUAUGAGGUUCAGGAACGAGGCCACCAAUCUGUUCGCAAGUAUGGCCCGCCUGAACGCGCUCGUGACCCCGUCAGUGUACAUCUGGGGCAGCCCGGCGCUGCGGGAGGCCGUGUGGAGGACUGUGUGGCGGAGGGUGUUCUGCUGCCGCCGGAGGGCGAGGUGAGAGGCGACUGUGUGUUGUCGUUUUCUGCAAAUGGUGCUAAUUUUAGCGGCAACACGCGCCCUACACUCGAACUAAAUGCAUAUUUGUUAUGUUUGUAUGCGAUACAUUACGCAAACUUUCUCUGUUUUCAGAAUCGGCUUUCACUUGGACGGAGUGAGGAAACAUUGAUGAUGAAACAGCAUCAUGAGGAGAAAUUGUUGAAGAGAAUUACUCUCUCAUCUAUACCGGAUAUAGGUCAAACGAGAGGUAUUUCAGGCAAUCAAUACAGGGAUAUAGACUCAGACAUUUCUUACACUUCUUUUUGGAAACAAUAUUUUAUUCACAGGAAUCAAUAA